GCUGGGUGUGGUGGCUCAUGCCUGUAAUCCCAGCACAUUGGGAGGCAGAGGCAGGUGGAUCACCUGAGGUCAGGAGUUUGAGACCAGCCUGGCCAACAUGGUGAAACCCUGUCUCUA
rnacentral:SRP_RNA from 1 species